rnacentral:rRNA from 1 species
UACGGAGGGGGCUAGCGUUGUUCGGAAUUACUGGGCGUAAAGCGUACGUAGGCGGCUUUGUAAGUUAGAGGUGAAAGCCUGGAGCUCAACUCCAGAACUGCCUUUAAAACUGCAUCGCUAGAAUUGUGGAGAGGUAAGUGGAAUUCCGAGUGUAGAGGUGAAAUUCGUAGAUAUUCGGAAGAACACCAGUGGCGAAGGCGGCACACUGGCCCAUUACUGACGCUGAGGCUCGAAAGCGUGGGGAGCAAACAGG